rnacentral:lncRNA from 1 species
UGAGUGGGAGCGAGGCAACGGGGCCAUAGACUUCUCCCGUUUCACGAGCAGUCUCUAUGGAAUUAACUCCUGGAGCGGACAGUCACGAGCCACCCCUGCUCCAGCUGGACCCGUGGUGCACACAGCUUAGGUCAGCUCAGCUGCUGGGACUUAGCAAGUGGCCCAGAGCCUUCUGGGGGACUGUGACCCACCCAGCGUCUCUAGCAUACUCUCAGAUUAGCAGUUCGUGUGAUCUUCCACAGGACAGACAUGUGGAGGUCAGAGGACAACUUCAUAUAGUCAGCUCUUUCCUCCUGUCUUAAAGGUAGUCUCAGAAACAAAAGUCAGCCUGCAGGCUCACGCCCGCAUCCACAGAAAGUGAAGAACGCUCCUCUGCUAAGACCUAUUUCUGGAAGAUUCUGUGCUGAAUGAUUGGACCCUCAGGGAGUGGGGACGCAACGUGUACGGGAAACUGUAAGGAAUGAACAGGUGCAGGGAGCCAGCCACCAGGAGACCCCGAGGGAGGGGAAGGACUUGGGGGUACAGGAAGGACCCAGAGACCGCAGCGGAGGAGGAAAAGGAAAAGGCAGUCAGGGCACCAUGUGCCACCACUUGAAGGUGAACGGCUUCCUGCGGACAUUGGUGCCACAGUGAACCUCUCCCAGGAACUUGUGGGAUCAUGGAGGGAUAGUCAGAGGUCAGCCCCAGUGAGGCGUUGGCUCAGCUUCAGCGGGUCCUGCUUCAGAGAGUGGCUGGGUUGUACCAACUUCUCUGACCUUCAGCCAUGAGGGUACCUGCACAUACCGACCAACAGAGCUAGCACAGCUGGAGCUCUGAUCAGCCUGUGCCUGAAGUCCACACAACCAUAGGACUUUGAACAAAUUCUGCCCAGCCCUGACCAAGGCCCUGUGUUGAGACUCCUGCCCACUUCCCUCACUUCUGCUGCCUGACUCAGUGGCCCACUGUGACCCACAACCUGACAGCAAGGUCAGGACAGAUUCUAAAGAUAAAGCCCGCCCUGUCUAGGCAAACAACUCCGGGAGAGAGAAACUUGGGGUUUGCACGCAACCCAAGUUAAGUUGCACCUAACUUUUCCCUCCCCUCCCCUUUUAUAUAAACCCCAAGAACCCCUCCCCCUUCCACAGACACCCCUUUCUUGCUGUGUCUGCCCCUCCCUGUUUUAAAUAAACAGUCCAGUCUGUUGAGGUC